GCACUGCUGAGGAGUCUCAAAAUAGGACGACACGGCCGUCCAGUGC
rfam:Schistosoma mansoni strain Puerto Rico chromosome W, complete genome